GGAGAUGUAUCUCAAAUGUAGAGCAUUAUGUAUGCAUGCUAGAGGCACGGGGUUCAAUUCCUCGUGUCUCCA
rnacentral:tRNA from 1 species